rnacentral:misc_RNA from 1 species
GAUGAAGAACGUAGUGAAAUGCGAUAAGUAAUGUGAAUUGCAGAAUUCAGUGAAUCAUCGAAUCUUUGAACGCACCUUGCGCCCCUUGGCAUUCCGAGGGGCACGCCUGUUUGAGUGUCGUGAACUCCUCCACCCUCCACCUUUUUCGGAAGGUGUUGGGCUGGGAUUUGGGAGCUUGCGGGUCCCUGGCCGAUCCGCUCUCCUUGAAUACAUUAGCGAAGCCCUUGCGGCCUUGGUGUGAUAGUCAUCUACGCCUCGGUUUAGCGAACAUACGGGAAUCGCUUCCAACCGUCUCGCAAGAGACAAUCACUUCAAACUUGACCUCAAAUCAGGCGGGACUACCCGCUGAACUUAAGCAUAUCAAUAAGCGGAGGA